AGAAUCUUUCGCAAUGCCCGAAAGGGUGACGAAGCGACGCCGCGUGCGGGAAGAAGGCCUUCGGGUUGUAAACCACUGUCGGGAGUUAAGAAGUGUAAGGGUGUUAAGAGCAUCCUUACUUGACGUUAGCUCCGGAGGAAGCCACGGCUAACUCUGUGCCAGCAGCCGCGGUAAUACAGAGGUGGCAAGCGUUGUUCGGAAUUAUUGGGCGUAAAGAGCACGUAGGCGGCCCUGCAAGUCAGCUGUGAAAUCCUUCUGCUCAACGGAAGAACGGCAGUUGAUACUACAGGGCUAGAGUGCGGGAGGGGAGAGUGGAACUUCUGGUGGAGCGGUGAAAUGCGUAGAUAUCAGAAGGAACAUCGGCGGCGAAAGCGACUCUCUGGUCCGUAACUGACGCUGAGGUGCGAAAGCUAGGGGAGCAAACGGGAUUAGAUACCCCGGUAGUCCUAGCCGUAAACGAUGGGCACUCGGUAGAGGGGUUUUGAUUAUCUCUCUGCCUGAGCUAACGCGUUAAGUGCCCCGCCUGGGGAGUACGGCCGCAAGGCUAAAACUCAAAAGAGUUGACGGGGGCUCGCACAAGCGGUGGAGCAUGUGGCUUAAUUCGAUGCAACACGAAGAACCUUACCGGGGCCUGACAUGGUAGAAGUAGGAGCCCGAAAGGGUAACGAACGGUAUCCAGUCCGUCACUAUCACAGGUGUUGCAUGGCUG
rnacentral:rRNA from 1 species